rnacentral:rRNA from 1 species
AGAGUAGGCGGACUUUUAAGUGAGAUGUGAAAUACCCGGGCUCAACUUGGGUGCUGCAUUUCAAACUGGAAGUCUAGAGUGCAGGAGAGGAGAAUGGAAUUCCUAGUGUAGCGGUGAAAUGCGUAGAGAUUAGGAAGAACACCAGUGGCGAAGGCGAUUCUCUGGACUGUAACUGACGCUGAGGCUCGAAAGCGUGGGGAGCAAACA